rnacentral:pre_miRNA from 14 species
GAUCAGGCCUUGGCCGAAUGCAUAUAUUGCUCAGUUGAAUUGCUAAUAUUGCACUCGCCCCGGCCUGAUC